GGAAUAUUGCGCAAUGGGCGAAAGCCUGACGCAGCGACGCCGCGUGGGGGAUGACGGUCUUCGGAUUGUAAACCCCUUUCGGGAGGGAAGAUGGGAUGGGGUAACCCAUUCGGACGGUACCUCCAGAAGCAGCCACGGCUAACUUCGUGCCAGCAGCCGCGGUAAUACGAAGGUGGCAAGCGUUGUUCGGAUUUACUGGGCGUACAGGGAGCGUAGGCGGUUGUGUAAGCCCUCCGUGAAAUCUCCAGGCUUAACCGGGAAAGUGCAGAGGGGACUGCUCAGCUAGAGGAUGGGAGAGGAGCGCGGAAUUCCCGGUGUAGCGGUGAAAUGCGUAGAUAUCGGGAAGAAGGCCGGUGGCGAAGGCGGCGCUCUGGAACGUACCUGACGCUGAGGUGCGAAAGCGUGGGGAGCAAAC
rnacentral:rRNA from 1 species